rnacentral:rRNA from 1 species
CCUACGGGUGGCAGCAGUCGAGAAUCAUUCACAAUGGGGGAAACCCUGAUGGUGCGACGCCGCGUGGGGGAAUGAAGGUCUUCGGAUUGUGAACCCCUGUCAUGUGGGAGCAAAUUAAAAAGAUAGUACCACAAGAGGAAGAGACGGCUAACUCUGUGCCAGCAGCCGCGGUAAUACAGAGGUCUCAAGCGUUGUUCGGAAUCACUGGGCGUAAAGCGUGCGUAGGCUGUUUCGUAAGUCGUGUGUGAAAGGCGCGGGCUCAACCCGCGGACGGCACAUGAUACUGCGAGACUAGAGUAGUGGAGGGGGAACCGGAAUUCGCGGUGUAGCAGUGAAAUGCGUAGAUAUCGAGAGGAACACUCGUGGCGAAGGCGGGUUCCUGGACAUUAACUGACGCUGAGGCACGAAGGCCAGGGGAGCGAAAGGGAUUAGAUACCCGGGUAGUC